GAACUGGUGCAAAGACGCCGAUUGGUGGAUGACUCGGCUUGAUAAGCGAAGAAGGACGUGGCAAGCUGCGAUAAGCCUGGGGUAGGUGCACGCGACCGUAGAUCCCAGGAUGUCCGAAUGAGGUCUCUCUUUUACACUCCCUUUCUUAUUUUCUAUAGAUUGGGAGAGCGAACCGUCCGAAGUGAAGCAUCUGAGUAGGACGAGGAAAAGAAAUCAAUAGAGAUUCCGCUAGUAGCGGCGAGCGAAAACGGAACAGCCCAAACUGAAUCUGUUAUGGUAACAUAAUAGAGAUGUGGUGUUACGGUUAUAGCGUAUAAAAUCCUGUCUUUAGAGCUAAAGUGUACUGGAAUGUACCGGAAUAGAGGGUGAUACCCCCGUAAGCAAAUAAAGAUAGGAUUUUGCUAUAUCCAGAGUAACUGGCCUUGGCAGUGGCCAGCGAAGGUGGGUAAAAGUAGUAUCCAAGGCUAAAUAUUCAUCAAGACCGAUAGAAUACUAGUACCGUGAGGGAAAGUUGAAAAGUACCCCGGAAGGGGGGUUAAAAGCGCCUGAAACCAAUCGGUUACAGACGUGUAUGGCUCGAAAGGAUUAUCUAGAGUCAUACGUUCCGUCUAGAAACACGGGCCAGGGAGAUUGCUGUCAUGGCAAGCUUAACCUUUAACAGAGGGAAGGCGAAGGGAAACCGAAAUUUGCGCAUUUUUUCUUUCAUAGAAAAAAGAGGCAAUGGAUCUGAAAGGGUCUCAAGUCAUGGCAGUAAGGCUAGAAACCGGACGAUCUAGUCCUGGAUAAGACGAAGGUGAGCGAAAGCUCGCUGGAGGUCUGCAAGGGUCCUGACGUGCAAAUCGGUCCUCUGAUCUGGGAUUAGGGGUCAAAAACCAAUCUAGUCCGGUGAUCGCUAGUUCCCACCGAAGUGGAUCGCAGUCCUGCCUUAGCUGAGAUGGCCUGUAUUGUAGAGCACCGAUCGGAUGGUAAGGGCUCGAAAGAGCUCGCCAUCCAUUCGAACUCCGAAGAUACGGGCGUCGUAGAAGCUAGGAGGCGGGUUUAUGUGGGGUAAGCCUCAUAACCGAGAGGGGGACAACCCAGACUAAAGUUAAGGUCCCCAAAUGUCUACUAAGUGUCAAACCAAAGGGUGUUUUCGAGCAAAGACAGCAGGAAGGUAGGCUCAGAAGCAGCCAUUCUUCAAAGAGUGCGUAACAGCUCACCUGCCGAGCUCGAAAGCCCCGAAAAUUCACGGGGCUCAAGUAGACUACCGAUACUUUAGACCACCGACGAUGUCGGUGCGUGGUAGGUGGGCGUAGUGUUUGGGUAGAAGCAGGGCUGUAAAGUCCUGUGGACCGAACUACUAGUGCAGAUCCUGGUGGUAGUAACAGCAUAGCCGGGUGAGAAUCUCGGCGACCGCAUGGGCAAGGGUUUCCCGGCAAUGCGUCAUCAGCCGGGAGUUAGCCGGUCCUAAAAACAACCUCAACAGAAUUGUUUGAAUGGGAAACUGGUUAAUAUUCCAGUGCCUUGAAAGUUCGUUAUUACCUUUUCUGUCGCUUCCGGAUAAGGCAAGCAGAACCGUCGUUCUGUCCAAGUAUUCUAGCUUUGAGGAGUGCCGUAAUGGCGAGAAUUAAAGCGAGAUGCGAAUGGCCUUCUGCAAGGAGGGUUUGCUUGAUUCCAGGAGACAAUGAAAGCAGAAAUAGGAAGAUACUUUCAAGUCCGUACCGAGAUCCGACACUGGUGCCCUGGAUGAGAAGUCUAAGGUCUAUCGGGUAUACCGUAUGGCAAGGGAACUCGGCAAAAUAGCUCCGUACCUAUGGUAUAAGGAGUGCCUGCAGUUUUUACGAGGAGUAGGGACUGCAGGUCGCAGUGACUAGGGGGUCCCGACUGUUUAAUAAAAACACAGGUGGUCGCUAGUCCGAAAGGAUGUGUAUGGCCUCUGUAUCCUGGCCAGUGGCGGUACCUAAAACCUGGGUUCAACCGGG
rnacentral:rRNA from 1 species